rnacentral:rRNA from 1 species
UCGUAGUGAACUGGGAAGGAUCAU